ACUCCAAGUCAUCCUUCUGUAGGCUGAUCACAGUAAGAGCUCCAUUUUCUCCACGAGAGCCAAACUCAAAGUUAAUAUGAUUUUCUACCAGUUUCAACAUACUAAUUAAAUACCUGGCUUUAAUUUUUUGGAAGAAAGAAAGCAGAACCUUCAUUUCAGUCACAGAAAUAACCGUAUCUUUGGCUUGUAUUAAAGGCUGUUGGUCUCCCAAGCUCUGUUUGAAAUUCACAACAUGGGAAUUUACAGAAUUUUCAUAAAAGCAAUUGAAGUUCCAGUGUCUCCAUGAACUCCAGGGUGUGCUUCUAGGAACAAAAGAUGUUUUGCUUUGCUCACACCUGCUCGGCUCUCCAUGGGGGCUCAAGCAAUACACAUUCCAAUCGAGCAGCGUCAAUAAAAUCAAAUAAAAAUUAAGUUCCAGGGGACGGAAUGGAGAUAAACAACAUAAAGUCCAUUUGAAAAGGAGCUGAAUUAUUGGAACUGGUUUUCUAAGCAGAAAAUGGUUACAGAAAAAUAGAUUUUUCAACUGUAAAUCAUAUAGUUUUGACUUGGUGGAAUUCUCUUUCUGCAAUUCUAACACGUCUUCCUUCUGUUUCUCCCUCUGUGUGUGUGUGUGUGUGUGUGUGUGUGUGUGUGUGUGGGCGGGGGUGGUGAGGGAAGGGAAGAGAAGGGAACAGGGACGGAGAACAUUUGAAAGAGGUAGAAGAGGGAUUUCCCUGGUGGCGCAGGGGUUAAGAAUCCGCCUGCCAAUGCACGGGACACGGGUUCGAGCCCUGGUCUGGGAAGAUCCCACAUGCCCGUAUGUCACAACUACUGAGCCCGCGAGCCACAACCACUGAGCCGGCGUGCCACAACUACUGAGUGGGCCACAACUACUGAUGCCCGUGCGCCUAGAGCCCGUGCUCCACAAGAGAAGCCACCGCAAUGAGAAGCCCACGCACUGCAACGAAGAGUAGCCCCCGCUUGUCACAACUAGAGGAAGCCCGCGUGUAGCAACGAAGACCCAACGCAGCCAAAAAUAAAGAAAGAAAUAAAGAAAUUAAAGAAAAAGAAAGAAAGAGAUUAUGGUCUUAAGAAAAGAAAACUUACGUUUCCUUACUCAAAGUCCAUGAAAUCCCACUUGUCUUAAGAGGCCUUCUCUCUGUUGGGAAACAAGGUCCAUCCAUGUUGCAUUAUUUCAUUCUUCUUUAUGGCUGAGACACACACAGACUGAAAGUGAGGGGAUGGAAAAAGUUAUUCCAUGCAAAUGGAAAUCAAAAGAAAGCUGGAGUAGCAAUUCUCAUAUCAGACAAAAUAGACGUUCAAAUAAAGACUGUUACAAGAGACAAAGAAGGAUACUACAUAACGAUCAGGGGACCAAUCCAAGAAGAAGAUGUAACAAUUGUAAAUGUAUAUGCACCCAACAUAGGAGCACCUCAAUAUAAGGCAAGUGUUACUGAUUCUUCAUUCAUUCAUUCAUUCAAACGUCUUUCCUAAGCACUGCUGUGCACCAGGCUCUGUUAGAUGCUGGAGACAAGGCAGACACCGGCCCUCAAGAACCCUCCGUGAAGGGGCUCAUUGCCUUGUGGAGGGCAUUUUCUCCUGAAGAGGGUAGGGAAGGAUUCUGAGAUGUUGUCCAGGCUGGCACGGGGUCGAGGCACAGAGGUGCCAGGGAGCACGGCCAUGCCUGCCCCCCUCACGUUUCAGAGGGGUGUCUGCAAAGGAUAAACGCAACGUGCUGGCUCUGACUUGUAAUUGACUUGAUGACCAAGAGUUGAAAGCAUCGAAGUGUAGGAAGACCAUGCACAUCUGUCAGGAAUGUGGAGGGAAGGGAAAGUUUGCUUUGGACGGGGUUAGUGACUUCUCAACGUGUUAAGGUGACUUGACCUAAUUAGCUUGUUCUUUCACCUUGGUCUGGAACAGUCUUGGGAGUUUAAUCCUUCAGAGCAGCUGUUCUCAACAGAGGUGUCCCCAAUAAAUUGGAAUGAGUUUGGAGGGGCGCUAUAAUUUCUUACUAAAAUUACCAAAAGUGGGCAAAUGAAGCCACCAAAAUGUUUAAAGUGAAUAUAAUAAAAACUUGGAUACUUAAAAACAGCAACCCCCC